rnacentral:rRNA from 1 species
AGCUCCAAUAGCGUAUAUUAAUGUUGUUGCAGUUAAAAAGCUCGUAGUUGGAUUUCUGCGCCGCGCAGCUCGGUCCGCCGCACUGCGGUGCGACUGUGGCUGGAGCGUCGCAUCCUUGUGGGGACUGUUCUUGCCAUUAAUUUGGUGAUUUCAGGAACCGCAUCGUUUACUGUGAAAAAAUUAGAGUGUUCAAAGCAGGCUUAGGCCGUUGGAUACAUUAGCAUGGAAUAAUGAGAUAGGGCCACCGCGGUCUAUUUUGUUGGUUUGCACGUUGUGGUAAUGAUUAACAGGAACGGUUGGGGGUAUUCGUAUUCAAUUGUCAGAGGUGAAAUUCUUGGAUUUGUGGAAGACGAACUACUGCGAAAGCAUUUACCAAGGAUGUUUUCAUUAAUCAAGAACG